UUUUUUGUGCAGUGGUAGAGUCAUAGCUAAUCCGAGGCGUGAUUAUUGCUAGUUGAAAACUUUUCCCAAUACCCUAAGUGACUUGUCCAAGGUCACAUGAUGAGUCACUGGCAGAGCUGAGAAAAGG
rnacentral:snRNA from 1 species